rnacentral:rRNA from 1 species
UAGGGAAUCUUCGGCAAUGGACGAAAGUCUGACCGAGCAACGCCGCGUGAGUGAAGAAGGUUUUCGGAUCGUAAAACUCUGUUGUUAGAGAAGAACAAGGACGUUAGUAACUGAACGUCCCCUGACGGUAUCUAACCAGAAAGCCACGGCUAACUACGUGCCAGCAGCCGCGGUAAUACGUAGGUGGCAAGCGUUGUCCGGAUUUAUUGGGCGUAAAGCGAGCGCAGGCGGUUUCUUAAGUCUGAUGUGAAAGCCCCCGGCUCAACCGGGGAGGGUCAUUGGAAACUGGGAGACUUGAGUGCAGAAGAGGAGAGUGGAAUUCCAUGUGUGGCGGUGAAAGGCGUAGAUAUAUGGAGGAACACCAGUGGCGAAGGCGGCUCUCUGGUCUGUAACUGACGCUGAGGCUCGAAAGCGUGGGGAGCAAACAGG